rnacentral:snRNA from 13 species
AGCUUUGCACAGUGGCAGUAUCGUAGCCAAUGAGGUUUAUCCAAGGCGCAAUUAUUGUUAAUUGAAAAUAUGCCAAGUGUCUUUCUGCUUUGGGGAGUGUUUAAUCCUAGCUCAUUAC